AACUCCAGCAUCACCAGGCCCUUAUUUC
rnacentral:piRNA from 1 species